rnacentral:rRNA from 1 species
CCAAUAGCGUAUAUUAAAGUUGUUGCAGUUAAAAAGCUCGUAGUUGAAUUUCGGGAUCAGUACGCUGGUCGUGCCUUCGGUAUGCACUGGUUUCACUGAUUCCUCCCUUCUGAAGAACCGUAAUGCCAUUCAGUUGGUGUGGCGGGGAAUCAGGAUUGUUACUUUGAAAAAAUUAGAGUGUUUAAAGCAGGCUCGCGCUUGAAUACAUUAGCAUGGAAUAAUGAAAUAGGACGUUUGAUCCUAUUUUGUUGGUUUCUAGGAUCGACGUAAUGAUUAAGAGGGAUAGUUGGGGGCAUUAGUAUUCAAUUGUCAGAGGUGAAAUUCUUGGAUUUAUUGAAGACUAACUACUGCGAAAGCAUUUGCCAAGGAUGUUUUCAUUAAUCAAGAACGAAAGUUAGGGGAUCGAAGACGAUCAGAUACCGUCGUAGUCUUAACCAUAAACUAUGCCGACUAGGGAUCGGAUGAUGUUAAUUUUUUAAUGACUCAUUCGGCGCCUUACG